UGGGAACGCUGAGCAGCCACCAGGAGU
rnacentral:piRNA from 1 species